CAGCCGCCGCGGUAAUACGAAGGGUGCAAGCGUUAAUCGGAAUUACUGGGCGUAAAGCGUGCGUAGGCGGUUUGUUAAGUCUGUUGUGAAAUCCCCGGGCUCAACCUGGGAAUGGCAAUGGAUACUGGCAAGCUAGAGUGUGUCAGAGGAUGGUGGAAUUCCGCGUGUAGCAGUGAAAUGCGUAGAUAUGCGGAGGAGCACCGAUGGCGAAGGCAGCCCCCUGGGCCAAUACUGACGCUCAUGCACGAAAGCGUGGGGAGCAAACAGGAUUAGAUACCCGAGUAGUCCUGUCUCUUAUACA
rnacentral:rRNA from 1 species